CCUCGGACCACGGACAGCGCCCAGCGCAAGCUUACCUCCAAAACGCGUCCACUGCUGCGCCUCAACGACUAGACGCGCGCCCAGGGGCGCCGAGCUCUCGGAGCCGUCCGCCGGGCCCCGCCCUCCAGCACCGCCCACAUGCCCCUCCUCCUCCCGCUCCGCCUAGGCGCGCACUAAGGCCCCUCCCAGCAGGAGCGCGGCGCACUGACACCCGAGGCAGCCACUGCCUUACAAGGCUGCCACAGGCACAGCCAGCCUAUGGACACCGCUCGACUCAGGGGACGCUUGCCACGGGAUCUCCACCCCACUGACUGUGGUGAGGUCAUGGUCGCACUGGUGGCUCUGAAGAAGAUUAUGGGGUUAGUAAGGAGGCAAUGGGGCUGGAAGAUUUGGUUCAAUAGACUCUUCAGCCCUCCAGGUUCUGUCUCAGACUCUAGCCAAGUCACCCACUGAGGUUUUGGCUUGGCCACUUGACUUAUGUCCCACAAAGCCCCAAGUCCUGCUGUGAUGGUUUGUAUAUGCUUGGACCAAGAAGUGGCACUAUUUGGAGGUGUGGCCUUGUUGGGGUAGGUGUGACCUGGUUGGAGUAGGUGUGUCACUGUGGGUAUGGACUUAAGACCCUCACCCUAGCUGCCUGGAAGUGAGUAGCAGCCUUCAGAUGAAGAUGUAGAACUCUCAGCUCCUCCUGCACCAUGCCUGCCUAGAUGCUGCCAUGCUCCCACAUGAUAAUGGACCGAACCUCAGAACCUGUAAACCAACCCC